rnacentral:rRNA from 1 species
AUGAGCAUUAUAAGUUGGAACUGCCGGGGGCUUGGGAACCCUGAGGCAGUUCGAGAGCUUCGCAGUGUGGUGAAGCAAGAAGGGCCCUCCCUCCUCUUUGUUAUGGAAACGAAGAUUAGGGCAGCAAGGGUGGAGAAUCUGAAGUUUACUUUGGGUUUUGAUGGAUGUUUCGCGGUUAAUAGAGUCAGUCUCAGUGGAGGCAUCGGAUUGUUGUGGUCCAAUGAUGUUUUUGUUGAGAUCAAGAAUUAUGGUGCCGGCCACAUUGAUGUUGUGGUGCGAAAAAAGGAUCAAAACUCCUUCGAGUGGAGAUUCACUGGCUUUUAUGGUGCACCAAGGGUACAUGACCGUCAUCACAGUUGGCAUCUUCUCCGAACCCUGAAUGCACUUCCCCAUACAACAUGGGUUUGCAUGGGUGACUUCAAGGAGACUUUAUACGGUGAUGAACAUUUUAGCCGGUCUGCGCGACCAGAGUGGCAGAUGAGGGUGUUUCGUGAAGUGGUCGAUGAGUGUGCACUCCAAGACUUAGGCUGGACAGGAGUUCCUUUCACUUGGGACAACCGUCAAGCAGGAGUGGCAAAUGUCAAAGCAUGGAUUGAUCGGGCCUUUGCAAAUGAGGAAUUUAGGCAACAAUUCGGAUAUACAAAUGUUUGCCAUAUUAGCGCGGCAGAGUCGGACCACUGUUUUGUACACUUGGUGUUCCGGGAGCAGCGAGGCAAUACAUCAAGAAGGGAGUGA